CACGUAGGGGGCAAGCGUUGUCCGGAUUUAUUGGGCGUAAAGAGCUCGUAGGUGGUUCGGUAAGUCGGGUGUUAAACCCCCAGGCUCAACCUGGGGACGCCACUCGAUACUGCUGUGACUAGAGUCCGGUAGGGGAGCGUGGAAUUCCUGGUGUAGCGGUGAAAUGCGCAGAUAUCAGGAGGAACACCGGUGGCGAAGGCGGCUCUCUGGACCGAGACUGACGCUGAGGCGCGAAAGCGUGGGGAGCAAACAGG
rnacentral:rRNA from 1 species